CUUUAUGGCGACUGUACGGGCAACCUUCGGGUUGGCCGGUUCUCUGUGUCCGGUAUUGCGACCCCGUACAGAUCGCCGCCUAU
rnacentral:antisense_RNA from 1 species